rnacentral:rRNA from 1 species
AUGAAUAUCUUGGCCUGGAACUGUCGAGGACUAGGGUUGGACUCGACAGUAGGCGAGCUGCGCGACCUGGUACGGUCCCACAACCCAGUGGUGGUUUUUUUAUCGGAGACAAAGAAGAAGACUAGGGGUAUGGAGAAGCUGAUGUGGAGUUUAGGGUUCAGGUGCGGUGUGGCUGUGGAUUGUUGUGGACUGAGUGGCGGAUUAGCACUCUGGUGGAGGGAGCAUGUACAUGUUUCAGUC